AUCUAAAUUGAACGGUGAUUAAGAUUAGGUCACACCUAUUUCCCCCCGGCUGCCGGGGGUGCUAAAGUCAAAAUUGUCUAUUGUCCAUCGGCUGACAGGGACAUGGUGUAAUCCCACGGAGCUUAAAGGUUGCCUAGGUAAAUCUAGGAUCGUAGCUAAAUAGAUACAAUCACACGAAACUGUAAAUCCUUCUCUUCGGACUAGGUGUGCUGGAUACGAUACAAGUGGUCUUACCUUCUUGAUUGACGUUGGCAGAAGUGGAGUCAAAGAAAAACUACAUUUAGUUCCAUCUCGGACAAACCAAGUCUGAAGCAGAUGUCAUCACUUUCAAUAUAGCAGGGCAAAUCACAAAUAGUAACUCUACCACAGGGCCACCUGGCUGCCGGGGGAAAAUAGACAAUUUUGACGUUAGCACCCCUCGGCUGCCGGGGUGAAAUAUAUUUUACCUUAAGUAAGUGAUUGGUUUUCUCGUUAAACCAGCGAUUUUACCUUUCAAAUUUCCUGGUUCAGCUCAAUCACCACACCAUUGCCACCUGGUAUCCACGGAAGAAUAGCACUUCGUGACACUAGAGCUAAACUUGAGAAUAGGCAAUAGUCCCGUCCACUUGGCAAUAGUCGUGACCAUGAAUUAAUUAUCCACCUAAGAAAAUGAUAUUUUGCAUUUAAUGUUGAAUUUUCGAAUUGCUGACAAGCCUAAGGGUGAUCCCAAGAUAUCAUUAUACUACAGUAUACAAAUGUUGAUAUUUCUGAAACUUGCAGCUGAUAGUUGCUUAUACUAGCUGGUUUGGUAUAUAUGUUGUCAUUGACUUUCAAGCUUUGUCAUUUAAGUUUAAGUUUUGAAAUUUUCAGUUUUUGCCACAAUUUUAGAUGCCUUGGAUCAACAUCCCUGUUGCUAACUACAAUUAGAAAACACUGAAGGCUUUUUCUAAGUCUGCGAGUAAGUACCAAUCAUAGCUUGAAGUAUGUCACCAAACUUAUUUGUUCAAGACCUAAACUGGAACUAAUUGCAUUUACCAUUGUUUAACAAAUUGCUGAAGGCUUUUUUGACAUUUUCUUCCCUAUGUUUAUUACAUAGGUAAGGGUUUUAAUAAGGCAAAAGUUCUUUUCUACAUAUUGAGAAGCAAUGUAUAAAAGAAGAAAAGAAAUAAACAAGGGAAAUAAAUUCAGCAGUUUCAUUCAAAUUUUACAUAAUCACAUUCUUUCACAGGUUGCUGAAAAAUCGGCGUAAUGCCAAGAAUGUGCGACGAGAAGGCGAAGAAAAAUGGUAUAAAGACGAAAUGAUAGAGAAGCGAUGAUUACGAUUGUGAUUAUGGUCUGAUGGAGAAAAAGAGACAUCAGGAGAAGGUAUUAUGGGCGUAUUUUGGAUUGUAGUGUUUGCAAAAGAGGCUUCGAAGAUUCUAGACAUAAAACCAAUCAACAAGUUGCGGUGAUCACUGAAAGAACGCGAAACGGCAGAAGUAAAAUUGAACGCUGUUGACUUGUUUGUCUUUGAAACGUUUAAAAGGUUUGCCUUCAUCGAUCGCAUGGGAGUCUGAGUUUUCACUGAAAACGACGAAGUGUCAAACUCUUGUUUCGCUUUGUGAAGUGUAAGGUCUGACAAAACAUCUAAUACACCAUUUGUAAAAAUA